rnacentral:lncRNA from 1 species
UUUUCACCCUCUUUUCUUGUUUGCCAGUCUCUUUUAGAACCUCAGUCAUUCCAACAGGUACGAAGUUGUGGACUGUUUUUAGUUCAAAUGGGAGUCAGUGAAAAGACAGCAUCAGCAGACAAGGUUGCUUGAGUUUAUUUUCUUCCACUCAGCUCUGCAUGUAGACAAGACCUUGCAAUGACAGCCCUCUGUCAAGAAUUGAAAAUGUCUGAAGACUUAGGUGAUGGCAUCCCACCUGAAGAAAAGCCUGAAGUAGUGGAAAUGCCAAGCAAUGAUGUAUUGCCUCACGAGUCAGUACCAGACCUUGUGGAGGCUGAGAUCUUGCCUGCAUCUUCACACGAGGAACAUGGACAGGCUGCUCAGAGUGCCAGUAAUGGACAGAAAGGAGACAUAUUUAUUAAUGAAAAUCCUUUGACUGAAAAAAUAGCUGAAAAUCUGCCUUCCAGUGGAGAGCUGGCUGAAGAUAUGCCCACUGAGUGCAUUGAGACUGUAAGCCUUGAUGCAGAACCUGAAUCUGAAGAAACACCACCUGAACAAAGCAGUCCAGUGAGUAAUAUUUUCAUUUCCAUAAAUGUCCUUCCCUCCCUGCUCUGUAAGAACAGAGUUUUGUGAAAUUUGUAUACUGCUUUUUAGAAAAAAAAUAAGGAGUUACGUACAGAGAACCUGCAUGGGAAUAAAAUCAGUUAGACUGCAGCACCAAGCCUUUGGAAACUAGGAACAGUUGAAUUUCUCUAUUUAUAUCCCUGCUGGAACAUUUUCAGGUAUACACAAAUUGGAAAAGGUUCAAAUGCAUUUGUUUAGUCCCACUACCAGUAACAGGGCCAUGCCUCCAAGAGGUUACAGGGGAUGUAUACAGUGCAGAGCUGCUUGGGAUACUUCAGCUUUUGUACAGGAGUUAACUGUGCAGAGGCAGUAAGUUACAUGCAGUUGAGACAACAGUUUCUUAGUAUGAUUUAAAUAUGGAGUAGUGAUACUUGCUCAAUUCCACACAUUAAUGGAAAAAAGUGGGCAGCACCUCUUCUGGCUGUGUUUUGAUUGAACACAGUUGUUAGGAAUUCCCUGUGCACACCUACUGGGUUACACCUAUGAGGAGACUGAGGCAGAGAAGCCUCUAGCUUUGUCUCCCUAUGGAACAAAAAAAAGGAGAUGGAUGCCUGCCUGUCCCAAAGAAUAACCAUAAUACAUUUGCAUGGCUUUAUAAGGUUAGGUGCCUGAAGAAAUAUUAGGACGUCCAUAAGACAUCUCUAGAGUUUUGUGUGCCCUCAGGAAUAGGUGCUUUGAAUUAAGCUUCCUAUUGUGCACAGAGAUUUAGAUUUCACAUAAUACCCAACCUAGCACUGUCUGUAAGUGAUUAGGAUCCCAUUAAGAAUCUGUUGCUCUUUUAGGAAUUAAAAAGAUUUUAAAAUUUGACUUCUAGUGAUCAAACUCUGAACAUGGAGGCAAUAUAAAUUGGUCAUUGUAAUAGAACUAGAGAAGCGCAUGUCUGUCCAGGGACGGUAUAUGCAAAAUAAGCUAGAAUGACACUUGACUGUGACACCGAAUUCUUAACUAAUCCUUGGUACAGACACUCUUAUUUCUUACUGCAGUUGUAGACACAUGUUCACUGCACAGUCAAUUAUUCCCAGUCAAACAUUGCAAUUC